AGUGAACGCUGGCGGUAGGCCUAACACAUGCAAGUCGAACGGCAGCACAGUAAGAGCUUGCUCUUACGGGUGGCGAGUGGCGGACGGGUGAGGAAUACAUCGGAAUCUACUUUUUCGUGGGGGGUAACGUAGGGAAACUUACGCUAAUACCGCAUACGACCUACGGGUGAAUGCAGGGGAUCUUCGGACCUUGCGCGAUUGAAUGAGCCGAUGUCGGAUUAGCUAGUUGGCGGGGUAAAGGCCCACCAAGGCGACGAUCCGUAGCUGGUCUGAGAGGAUGAUCAGCCACACUGGAACUGAGACACGGUCCAGACUCCUACGGGAGGCAGCAGUGGGGAAUAUUGGACAAUGGGCGCAAGCCUGAUCCAGCCAUACCGCGUGGGUGAAGAAGGCCUUCGGGUUGUAAAGCCCUUUUGUUGGGAAAGAAAAGCAGCAGGUUAAUACCCCGCUGUUCUGACGGUACCCAAAGAAUAAGCACCGGCUAACUUCGUG
rnacentral:rRNA from 1 species